UAUACCCAACAAAAUUUUGAAAUUCAGGAAACUAUAUUGAAAUCGCAAGCCAACAUGUUUUCAGUAUCAAAGCUCACACCUCAGUUAACAUAUAAAUAUUAAGAGUAACCUGAUUUCUUUUAAGUAGAAAUUGACAUUGUUUACUGAAUACCUUUUUUGCAACUUGAUACCACUAAAUUCACAAGUUUAAAAAAUUACAAUUCUGUAGGAAGUUCAAGAUGGUUUUCCCAAUUGCUCAUGUUUCCAUUCAGUCUAUUUCUCUUUAAAACAUCUGGAUGUUUGUUUUUUAAAGCCCAUUUUGUAAUAUUUUAUUUUAAAAAUGAUUUUCAAAAAUGAAGCCUAAGAGAACGGAGUGUAAAGGAGUGGGGGUGGGGCGAGGAGAGAAGGCAAAGAUGGGCCCGGCAGGGAAAGGCUGGUCACUGGGUAUUUUCCUUCUGGAAGCAUGCUUUAUUGGCAAAGGCAUCUGAAGUAACGAGCCAUACAAACACGACCCAAGAACGAGAACGAUCACGAGUAAUGAGUGGUAAGGCAUAAAUGUCUAAGAUGGAAAUGAAUUGGCACUGAUCAUCAAGCAGCACCAGAUGCUUCGAGACCUCGUAGAGGAAAGGUGAGAGGUCCAAGAAACAGAGGAGACCGCUGCCACCCUUCACGGAAGGGAAGAAACCAAGCAGUAACUACCGUUCAGCUGUCCAAAGAAGCCUGAACGGUACAGAGCACAAGAAAGCCAGCAAGUGACUGGGGGAAAGGCACACACCCUGGCGAGUCCGAAGACGGGUGUGCAGUGUGCAAAUACUACACGGGUCCAUGAAAUGGUCUGGGUAAGGGGAUGUGGGUGUGGGUAAGGGGCUACCGCAGGCGUCUCACGGUCCCCUCCCUGCAGCAGAGCAACAGAGGGUAAAAGAAGGGGGAGGGUGAAAAGCAAGAAUGACUCAUUACCAAAAGGAAGUGCUCAAGCCAUAGGAAGGCAUGCCACAGGGGAUUUCAGGGCGAGGACUGUGAGGAGCUAGGUGCUCAGGGUGAUAGGGGCAAAACCCAACGUCCUGUAGUUCCUGCUGCUUGUCUUUAAGAUGGGGGUGUGGGGGGGUUCGCGGCAGCUGAGCGCCAAGGCCUGGGAAGCGGCGCGGCGCGUGCGCAGUGGCGUUCGGCGGGACCCGCUGAGGCAAAGCGGAGCCGCAGUGACAGAAGCAAGCACAGCGGCCGUCAGGAGGGACUCACCGAGGCGCAGGGGCUGGAGGUGGUGCUGGGGUAACAGACUCAAGAAAUUCUUUUGGAAGAUGAGAGGGUUAAAUCCAUUGACCUUACAGUUGGAAGAGCACUACUGUAGGAGUCAGAAGACCUGGUUUCUAGUUCCUGCUCUGUAAAACCUCAGGAAAAUGGCUUGACCUUUUUCGACUUUAGUUCCUCCUUCUCGACAAUGGAACCCUAACUUACAGGAUUUUUGAAAUAAGAGACAGAAUCUUGCUCUGUUGCCCAGGCUAGAGUACAGUG